GAUAGGCUAAUUAAGGGCGUAUGGGGAAUGCCUAGGCUCUCAGAGGCGAUGAAGGACGUGAUGAGCUGCGAAAAGCUGCGGGGAUCAGCACAUAUGAUUUGAUCCGCAGAUAUCCGAAUGGGGCAACCCACUAUAUUGAAGAUAUAGUACCUAUUUAUAGGAGCAAACCCGGGGAACUGAAACAUCUAA
rnacentral:rRNA from 1 species